rnacentral:rRNA from 1 species
GCUAACUUCGGGCCAGCAGCCGCGGUAAGACGAAGGGGGCUAGCGUUGUUCGGAAUUACUGGGCGUAAAGCGAGUGUAGGUGGUUGUCAUAGUCAGGUGUGAAAGCCUUGAGCUCAACUCAAGAAAUGCACUUGAUACUGGGCGACUAGAGGACCGGAGAGGAUAGUGGAAUUCCCAGUGUAGUGGUGAAAUACGUAGAGAUUGGGAAGAACACCAGUGGCGAAGGCGGCUAUCUGGACGGUUUCUGACACUAAGACUCGAAAGCGUGGGGAGCAAACAGGAUUAGAUACCCCUGUAGUC